UACCGAAGCUGCGGCAGCAUAGUUUACUAUGCUGGGUAGGGGAGCGUUGUGUAAGUGGAUGAAGGUGAGUUGUAAAGCUUGCUGGACAUAUCACAAGUGCGAAUGCUGACAUGAGUAACGACAAUGGGUGUGAAAAACACCCACGCCGAAAGACCAAGGUUUCCUGCGCAACGUUAAUCGACGCAGGGUUAGUCGGUCCCUAAGGCGAGGCUGAAAAGCGUAGUCGAUGGAAAACAGG
rnacentral:rRNA from 1 species